rnacentral:rRNA from 1 species
UACAUGGGGUGCAAACGUUGCUCGGAAUUACUGGGCGUAAAGGGCUCGUAGGCGGCCGACUAAGUCGGACGUGAAAUCCCUCGGCUUAACCGGGGAAUGGCGUCCGAUACUGGUCGGCUCGAGUGUGGGAGAGGGAUGCGGAAUUCCAGGUGUAGCGGUGAAAUGCGUAGAUAUUGGGAGGAACACCAGUGGCGAAGGCGGCUCGCUGGACCGGAACUGACGCUGAGGCGCGAAAGCGUGGGGAGCAAACAGG